rnacentral:rRNA from 1 species
UGGGGAAUAUUGGACAAUGGGCGAAAGCCUGAUCCAGCCAUGCCGCGUGUGUGAAGAAGGUCUUCGGAUUGUAAAGCACUUUAAGUUGGGAGGAAGGGCAGUAAGCUAAUACCUUGCUGUUUUGACGUUACCGACAGAAUAAGCACCGGCUAACUCUGUGCCAGCAGCCGCGGUAAUCCAGAGGGUGCAAGCGUUACUCGGAAUUACUGGGCGUAAAGCGCGCGGAGGUGGUUUGUUAAGUUGGAUGUGAAAGCCCCGGGCGCAACCUGGGAACUGCAUCCAAAACUGGCAAGCUAGAGUAUGGUAGAGGGUGGUGGAAUUUCCUGUGUAGCGGUGAAAUGCGUAGAUAUAGGAAGGAACACCAGUGGCGAAGGCGACCACCGGGACUGAUACUGACACUGAGGUGCGAAAGCGUGGGGAGCAAACA